AAAAACAUCUAUGGUUAGUUCUUGAGAACUUAUUAAUUAACUGAUUCUGAUCAAUACAGCCAUUUCCUCAGAGAAUCCAUUCUGCCUAUUGCCUUUCAGGUAGACAGCCUCACCACACAGGUGGUCUGUGUCCUCACCAGGUUUAGAAAUUAGGAAGAGAUCAAACUGUUAGGGACAGAUUUAACAUUCACUAUGAGAGAUUAUUAACUCAUUUAUCUUCCAGUCUGUGUAAAUCUAUUUGUGGUGAGAAAUGGAACUGUCAAUAGAUUCAAAAUGUUAAAGCGAUCUGCCCAGUAUGUUCUCUUACUAUAGGCAAGUCCCUAUAUGGGAAGCCAAAGUAUUCAAAGGUUGUUUGGCAAACAUGGAAUCUAAACAAAGGGAGUCGGUGGGUCUUUAGAACCAGAGUCCUCUCAGCUAAUAUAACUUGAGGAACUCUCUCACCCAGCAUUAAAAUAUUCUUGGCAAAGAAAAGAUAAUGUUCAAGUCACCUUACCUAAGAUUCUCUUUUCCCUGGGUACAGCAAAUAUUUGCCUUUGUGAUUGUUAUUUAUUCUUUUAUUCAUUUGUUCAUUUAUUUAUUGUUUCUAGGGCUUAUCAAUCCCCUUUUCUAACUUUAGAUGAAUCAACACAUUGAAUUUGGUAGUGUAAUAUGUUAUAAACUAGAGAAUCAUGCUGUUUCCUUAGACUUAGUGAUGGUUUGAUUUUCAUAUAUUUUUAAGUCUUAGAAUGGUGAAUAGACUCUAUCACUAACAUCUCUCCCUAUCCCUCCUUUCUGAUUUCCUAAUAAAUGGAAACACACUUCCUUUCCUUAUUGUGUUUCUUAAAAAUCCAUUUUGUUACUAGUCAGGAUCAUCUUUCAACCCUUGUUGUUGAUGAAAGUUUGGGAGUUCAUCUGUUUCUGGCAUAUUUGACAUUGAUUUAUAAGUAGGUCUGUUAUUUCAGACAGCAGUUCCUAUAUUUUACCUUUUCAGAUUUUAACUGAAUCUGGUA
rnacentral:lncRNA from 1 species